rnacentral:rRNA from 1 species
UGGGAAUUUUGGACAAUGGGCGGAAGCCUGAUCCAGCCAUGCCGCGUGCGGGAAGAAGGCCUUCGGGUUGUAAACUGCUUUUGUACGGAGCGAAAAGGUCUGCCCUAAUACGGUGGGCUCAUGACGGUACCGUAAGAAUAAGCACCGGCUAACUACGUGCCAGCAGCCGCGGUAAUACGUAGGGUGCGAGCGUUAAUCGGAAUUACUGGGCGUAAAGCGUGCGCAGGCGGUUAUAUAAGACAGAUGUGAAAUCCCCGGGCUCAACCUGGGAACUGCCUUUGUGACUGCAUAGCUAGAGUACGGUAGAGGGGGAUGGAAUUCCGCGUGUAGCAGUGAAAUGCGUAGAUAUGCGGAGGAACACCGAUGGCGAAGGCAAUCCCCUGGACCUGUACUGACGCUCAUGCACGAAAGCGUGGGGAGCAAACA